CAACGCGCGCCGGAAAUGCGGGAUCAACUGCGCGCCGCUGGCGCUGAGGGAAGGAAGUUUGCAGUCGAGCGGCCUAGGUUCUGUGGGCAAGGCCGUGGGAGGCAGCCGUGGCUUCUUCGACACACCAAGGGCGGCGCGAUGGGAGACGAGAUGGAUGCCAUGAUUCCCGAGCGGGAGAUGAAGGAUUUUCAGUUUAGGGCGCUAAAGAAGGUGAGAAUCUUUGACUCCCCUGAGGAACUGCCCAAGGAACGCUCGAGUCUGCUUGCUGUGUCCAACAAAUAUGGUCUGGUCUUUGCUGGUGGAGCCAGUGGCUUGCAGAUUUUUCCUACUAAAAAUCUUCUUAUUCAAAAUAAACCCGGAGAUGAUCCCAAUAAAAUAGUUGAUAAAGUCCAAGGCUUACUAGUUCCUAUGAAAUUCCCAAUCCAUCACCUGGCCUUGAGCUGUGAUAACCUGACACUCUCUGUGUGCAUGAUGUCCAGUGAAUAUGGUUCCAUUAUUGCUUUUUUUGAUGUUCGCACAUUCUCAAAUGAGGCUAAACAGCAAAAACGUCCAUUUGCCUAUCAUAAGCUUUUGAAAGAUGCAGGAGGCAUGGUGAUUGAUAUGAAGUGGAACCCCACUGUCCCCUCCAUGGUGGCAGUGUGUCUGGCUGAUGGUAGUAUUGCUGUCCUGCAAGUCACGGAAACAGUGAAAGUAUGUGCAACUCUUCCUUCCACUGUAGCAGUAACCUCUGUGUGCUGGAGCCCCAAGGGAAAGCAGCUGGCAGUGGGAAAGCAGAAUGGAACUGUGGUCCAGUAUCUUCCUACUUUGCAGGAAAAAAAAGUCAUUCCUUGUCCUCCGUUUUAUGAGUCAGAUCAUCCUGUCAGAGUUCUGGAUGUGCUGUGGAUCGGUACAUACGUCUUCACAAUAGUGUAUGCUGCUGCAGAUGGGACCCUGGAAACGUCUCCGGAUGUGGUGAUGGCUCUCCUGCCGAAAAAAGAAGAAAAACACCCAGAGAUAUUUGUGAACUUUAUGGAGCCCUGUUACGGCAGCUGCACGGAGAGACAGCAUCAUUACUACCUCAGUUACAUUGAGGAAUGGGAUUUAGUGCUGGCAGCAUCUGCGGCUUCAACAGAAGUUAGUAUCCUUGCUCGACAAAGUGAUCAGAUUAAUUGGGAAUCUUGGCUACUGGAGGAUUCUAGUCGAGCCGAAUUGCCCGUGACAGACAAGAGUGAUGACUCCUUGCCCAUGGGAGUUGCCGUAGACUAUACGAACCAAGUGGAAAUCACCAUCAAUGAUGAAAAGACUCUUCCUCCUACUCCAGUUCUCAUGUUACUUUCAACAGAUGGUGUGCUUUGUCCAUUUUACAUGAUUAAUCAAAAUCCUGGGGUUAAGUCUCUCAUCAAAACACCAGAGCGACUUUCAUUGGAAGGAGAGCGACAGCCCAAGUCACCAGGAAGUACUCCCACUACCCCGACCUCCUCUCAAGCCCCACAGAAACUGGAUGCUUCUGCAGCUGCAGCCCCUGCCUCUCUGCCACCUUCGUCACCUGCUGCUCCCAUUGCCACUUUUUCUUUGCUUCCUGCUGGUGGAGCCCCCACUGUGUUCUCCUUUGGUUCUUCAUCCUUGAAGUCAUCUGCUACUGUCACUGGGGAGCCGUCUUCAUAUUCCAGUGGCUCUGACAGCUCCAAAGCAGCCCCGAGUCCUGGCCCAUCAACCUUCUCUUUUGUUCCCCCUUCUAAAGCCUCCCUAGCCCUCACCCCUGCAGCGUCUCCCACAGGUCCAUCAGCUGCCUCAUUCUCCUUUGGAUCAUCUGGUUUUAAGCCUACCCUGGAAAGUACACCAGUGCCAAGUGUGUCUGCUCCAAAUAUAGCAGUGAAGCCCUCCUUCCCACCCUCAACCUCUGGUGUCAAAGUCAACCUGAGUGAAAAGUUUACUGUCACGGCUACCUCUGCUCCUGUUAGUAGCUCCCAGAGCGCACCCUCGAUGCCGCCAUUCUCUUCUGCCUCCAAGCCAGCUGCUUCUGGACCACUCAGCCAUCCCACGCCUCUCUCAGCAUCACCUAAUUCCGGGCCAUUGAGGUCCUCAGUCUUGCCCUCACCAUCAGCAGGACGACCUGCUCAGGGCAGUCCAAGUGCUGUGCCCUCAAUGGUACAGAAGUCACCCAGGAUAACCCCUCCAGCAGCAAAGCCAGGCUCUCCCCAGGCAAAGUCACUUCAGCCUGCUGUUGCAGAAAAGCAGGGACAUCAGUGGAAAGAUUCAGAUCCUGUGAUGGCUGGAAUUGGGGAGGAGAUUGCACACUUCCAGAAGGAGUUGGAAGAGUUAAAAGCCCGAACUUCCAAAGCCUGUUUCCAAGUGGGCACUUCUGAGGAAAUGAAGAUGCUGCGAACAGAAUCAGAUGACUUGCAUACCUUUCUUUUGGAGAUUAAAGAGACCACAGAGUCGCUUCAUGGAGAUAUAAGUAGCCUGAAAACAACUUUACUUGAGGGCUUUGCUGGUGUUGAGGAAGCCAGAGAACAAAAUGAAAGAAAUCGUGACUCUGGUUAUCUGCAUUUGCUUUAUAAAAGACCACUGGAUCCCAAGAGUGAAGCUCAGCUUCAGGAAAUUCGGCGCCUUCAUCAGUAUGUGAAAUUUGCUGUCCAAGAUGUGAAUGAUGUUCUAGACUUGGAGUGGGAUCGGCAUCUGGAACAAAAGAAAAAACAAAGGCACCUGCUUGUGCCAGAGCGAGAGACACUGUUUAACACCCUAGCCAAUAACCGUGAAAUCAUCAACCAACAGAGGAAGAGGCUGAAUCACCUGGUGGACAGUCUUCAGCAGCUCCGCCUUUACAACCAGACUUCCCCAUGGAGCCUGCCCUCGGCUGUUCCUUCCCCGAGCAGCAUUCACAGUUUUGACAGUGACCUUGAAAGCCUGCGCAAUGCUUUGUUAAAAACCACCAUAGAAUCGCACACCAAAUCCUUGCCCAAGGUACCAGCUAAACUGUCCCCCAUGAAACAGGCACAAUUGAGAAACUUCUUGGCCAAGAGGAAGACCCCACCAGUGAGAUCCACUGCUCCAGCCAGCCUGUCUCGAUCAGCCUUUCUGUCUCAGAGAUAUUAUGAAGACUUGGAUGAAGUCAGCUCAACAUCAUCUGUCUCCCAGUCUCUGGAGAGUGAAGAUGCACGGACGUCCUGUAAAGAUGAGGAGGCGGCGGUUCAGGCCCCCCGGCAUGCCCCCGUGGUUCGCACUCCUUCCAUCCAGCCCAGUCUCUUGCCUCAUGCAGCACCUUUUGCUAAAUCUCACCUGGUUCAUGGUUCUUCAUCUGGUGUGAUGGGAACUUCAGUGGCUACAUCUGCUAGCAAAAUUAUUCCUCAAGGGGCUGAUAGCACAAUGCUUGCCACGAAAACCGUGAAACAUGGUGCACCUAGUCCUUCCCACCCCAUCUCAGCCCCGCAGGCAGCUGCCGCAGCAGCACUCAGACGGCAGAUGGCCAGUCAAGCACCAGCUGUAAGCACUUUGACUGAAUCAACGUUGAAGAAUGUCCCUCAAGUGGUAAAUGUGCAGGAAUUGAAGAAUAACCCUGCAACCCCUUCUACAGCCAUGGGUUCUUCAGUGCCCUACUCCACAGCCAAAACACCUCACCCAGUGUUGACCCCAGUGGCCGCUAACCAAACCAAGCAGGGGUCUCUAAUAAAUUCCCUUAAGCCAUCUGGGCCUGCACCAGCAUCCGGUCAGUUAUCAUCUGGUGACAAAGCUUCAGGGACAGCCAAGAUAGAAACAGCUGUGACUUCGACUCCAUCUGCUUCUGGGCAGUUCAGCAAGCCUUUCUCAUUUUCUUCAUCAGGGACUGGCUUUAAUUUUGGGAUAAUCACACCAACACCAUCUUCUAAUUUCACUGCUGCACAAGGGGCAACACCCUCCACUAAAGAGUCAAGCCAGCUGGACGCAUUCUCAUUUGGUGGGGGAAGCAAACCUUCUUGUGAGGCCAUUCCUGAAAGCUCACCUCCCUCAGGAAUCACAUCCGCAUCAAACACCACCCCAGGAGAACCUGCCGCAUCUAGCAGCAGACCUGUGGCACCUUCUGGAACUGCUCUUUCCCCCACCUCUAGUAAGCUGGAAACCCCACCGUCCAAGUUGGGAGAGCUUCUGUUUCCAAGUUCUUUGGCUGGAGAGACUCUAGGAAGUUUUUCAGGACUGCGGGUUGGCCAAGCAGAUGAUUCUACAAAGCCAACCAGUAAGGCUUCAUCCACAAGCCUAACUAGUACCCAGCCAACCAAGACGUCAGGCGUGCCCUCAGGGUUUAAUUUUACUGUCCCCUCAGUGUUAGGGAAGCACACGGAACCCCCUGUGACCUCCUCUGCAACCACCACCACAGUAGCACCACCAGCAGCCACCAGCACUUCCUCAACUGGCGUUUUUGGCAGUCUGCCAGUCACCAGUGCAGGAUCCUCUGGAGUCAUCAGUUUUGGUGGGACAUCUCUAAGUGGUGGCAAGACUAGUUUUUCAUUUGGAAGCCAACAGACCAAUAGCACAGUGCCCCCAUCUGCCCCACCACCAACUACAGCUGCCACUCCCCUUCCAACAUCGUUCCCCACAUUGUCAUUCAGUAGUCUUCUGAGUUCAGCAACUACUCCCUCCCUGCCUAUGUCCUCUGGCAGAAGCACAGAAGAGGCCACUUCAUCAGCUUUGCCUGAGAAGCCAGGCGACAGUGAGGUCUCAACAUCAGCAACCUCACUUCUAGAGGAACAACAGUCAGUCCAGCUUCCCCAGGCUCCUCCGCAAACUCCUGACUCUGUUAAAAAAGAACCUGUUCUUGCCCAGCCUGCCGUCAGCAACUCUGGCACUGCAGCAUCUAGUACUGGUCUUGUAGCACUCUCUGCAGAGGGUACCCCAGCCACCACCGGGGUCCCUGAUGUCAGGACGGAGGCAGUACCACCUGCUUCCUCCUUUUCUGUGCCUGGGCAGACUGCUGUCACAGCAGCUGCUAUCUCAAGUGCAGGCCCUGUGGCCAUCGAAACAUCAAGCACCCCCACAGCCCCCAGCACCACAUCCAUUGUUGCUCCCAGCCCAUCUGCAGAGGCAGCAGCAUUUGGUACCGUCACUUCUGGCUCAUCAGUCUUUGCUCAGCCCCCUGCUGCCAGUUCUAGCUCAGCUUUCAGCCAGCUCACCAACAACACAGCCACUGCCCCCUCUGCCACACCAGUGUUUGGGCAGGUGGCAGCCAGCACUGCACCAAGCCUGUUUGGGCAGCAGACUGGUAGCACAGCCAGUACAGCAGCUGCCACACCACAGGUCAGCAGCUCAGGGUUUAGCAGCCCAGCUUUUGGCACCACAGCCCCAGGGGUCUUUGGACAGACAGCCUUUGGGCAGGCCUCAGUCUUUGGGCAGUCAGCGAGCAGUGCUGCAAGUGGCUUUUCCUUCAGUCAGCCUGGGUUCACUUCUGUGCCUGCCUUCGGUCAGCCUGCUUCCUCCACCCCCACAUCCACCAGUGGAAGUGUCUUUGGUGCCGCCUCAAGUACCAGUAGCUCCAGUUCCUUCUCAUUUGGACAGUCUUCUGCCAACACAGGAGGGGGGCUGUUUGGCCAAAGCAACCCUCCUGCUUUUGGGCAGAGUCCUGGCUUUGGACAGGGAGGCUCUGUAUUUGGUGGUACCUCAGCUGCCACCACAACAGCAGCAUCCUCUGGGUUCAGCUUUUGUCAAGCUUCAGGUUUUGGGUCUAGUAAUACUGGUUCUGUGUUUGGUCAAGCAGCCAGUACUGGUGGAACAGUCUUUGGCCAGCAAUCAUCCUCUUCCAGUGGUAGCGUGUUUGGGUCUGGAAACACUGGAAGAGGGGGAGGUUUCUUCAGUGGCCUUGGAGGAAAACCCAGUCAGGAUGCAGCCAACAAAAACCCGUUCAGCUCGGCCAGUGGGGGCUUUGGAUCCACAGCUACUGCAAAUACCUCUAACCUAUUUGGAAACAGUGGGGCCAAGACAUUUGGUGGAUUUGCCAGCUCGUCAUUUGGAGAGCAGAAACCCACUGGCACUUUCAGCUCUGGAGGAGGAAGUGUGGCAUCCCAAGGCUUUGGGUUUUCCUCUCCAAACAAAACAGGUGGCUUCGGUGCUGCUCCAGUGUUUGGCAGCCCUCCUACUUUUGGGGGAUCCCCUGGGUUUGGAGGGGUGCCAGCAUUCGGUUCAGCCCCAGCCUUUACAAGCCCUCUGGGCUCGACGGGAGGCAAAGUGUUCGGAGAGGGUACUGCGGCUGCCAGCGCAGGAGGAUUCGGGUUUGGGAGCAGCAGCAACACCACAUCCUUCGGCACACUCGCGAGUCAGAAUGCCCCCACUUUCGGAUCACUGUCCCAACAGACUUCUGGUUUUGGGACCCAGAGUAGCGGAUUCUCUGGUUUUGGAUCAGGCACAGGAGGCUUCAGCUUUGGAUCAAAUAACUCGUCUGUGCAGGGUUUUGGUGGCUGGCGAAGCUGAGAGGGUGUCAGCAGGCCCUUCAGUCCCUGGGAUCAACUGCAUCCUCAGCUGCUUCACCGAGAAAUGCUGGAGCAGGCUGCUUAGACCGAUGCUGCCAUCAGAACACAUACACCCAGAAAGAAACAACAGAAACCAAAACUCACAAGACGCGUGAUUACUUGUUUUAUAUUUCACGUUGGGUUUUCCCUGCCACUAUUAAACUGUUUCUGUACAGAAUGUAUGUGCGUUUUUUCAGAUCACGGCCAAGGAGAUAGCCCCAUUUCUGUGGCUCUGAGAAGCCAGCAGAGCCUCCAUCAGCCAGCACUGUGUCUUCAAGGAUGGCAUCCAAAGUGACCAGCGUCGGGUGUUGGUAAACAGCAUCAAAUGUGCCAUGGUCUCACUUGGACCUAGCGCCCUCCACAUAGGGAAGAGGUUGAAGGCUGGAGGCCCUCUCAGCCAUGAAGUGGGGGGACAGUCCCCAGUGACAUUCACAGCCAGUCACAAGGCAUGUUUCUCCCACGUGGGCUCAUGCUAGUUUGUAUACAGAGGCCAUCUAGAGACAAAGGGACUCAAGCUCUGACAGGAGAGGCUCGUGGCAGAGGGCUUAGCUUUAAAGGGAGAGAUGGACUCGGAGGCGCUGCAGGCUCCAUUCUGCCGUUGGCUGUCGUCCUGGUGACUGGCACCCAGGCCGAGCCAGUCUUCUCCUACCCUUCUGCUUCCCCCUGGACACUCCUUUUUAUAAAUAGAAAUGGUUCGGCCUAAACCCUUGACCUCAAAUUCUCUGCGUUGAUCCUCCAUUGAGGUGGCAUGUGACAUCUCUCCAUAAGGCACUAUCAGCUGUGCUCAGGCAGAUAACACCCCCACUCCCUGUCAGGCAGCAGCCCCAGAAGAAUGUGCUACAGGCAUGUGAGCUCCUCCAAGUUUCUUUUUUGGGUUCGAUUACAGUGGUAGAUGGCAGGGGUCAGCUCAGCCUGCAUCCCCUGACACCUGAGCUGUCGGGAUGUCCGGCUGGAAUGCACAGUCGCUCCUGCCUGCCCAGGGAGGAGAUGGUGGGGCUUGAGCCGCCUCCAAAUCAGGACAGGCAAAGAGUCUGGAUGAUGACAAGAAGGGGCCCCAAGGAUGCCCACGCAGCCCUUCUGGGGCCUGUGCUGCAGUGGCAGGCACAGGCAGUUUCAUGUAUGUUUCUGUUCCGCUUAACUCAGGAAAGGGAGAAGGCAGACUGCACUAGGUCGUGUUUUGCUUGGCUUUUCCGGACACACACACAUAUCCCACUGGUAAUUGGUGCUUCAGAUGGCAACACAGGGAUAGAGGUCAAAGUAAGCUCCUCAGGGACAGGUAGAAAGAACCCCGGCUACACAAUGACACAAUCCCGGCCUCUUGUUGGGGCAAAAGUGUGAGUCCUGUGGCACGGUGACGUGGCUGAGCCAGUGGUCCCCUCCACGUGGCCCUGCCUACCUGUGAGUGUCCUGGUGCCUGCUUUCAGCUUUGAGUUCUCUGUGGCAGCCUCUAGAGAGGCUUCUAGGUCAGGUCUCUGGCAUUACAGAGGGAGUGGACUGUGCAGGCUGCCCUCACUCUAACCCGCACCAGCUCUAUAACGAUCGAGGCGCGUGGCUUCUAUGUCUUGAGAGUUUUUCCCCUCAGUUGUAAAGUAGAAUUCGAAUACCUGGCUGGCAGGGUGGUGGUUCGGACUAAAUGAAGUGUACCUGGC